UACGAAGGGUGCAAACGUUGCUCGGAAUUAUUGGGCGUAAAGCGCACGUAGGCGGCUUGGCAAGUCGGAUGUGAAAUCCCUCGGCUCAACCAAGGAAGUGCAUCCGAAACUGCUGAGCUUGAGUACUUAAGAGGAUCGCGGAAUUCCCGGUGUAGAGGUGAAAUUCGUAGAUAUCGUGAGGAACACCAGUGGCGAAGGCGGCGAUCUGGGAAGAUACUGACGCUGAGGUGCGAAAGCGUGGGGAGCAAACAGG
rnacentral:rRNA from 1 species